rnacentral:rRNA from 1 species
ACGGGAGGCAGCAGUGAGGAAUAUUGGUCAAUGGGCGGAAGUCUGAACCAGCCAAGUCGCGUGCGGGAGGAAGGCCCUACGGGUCGUAAACCGCUUUUGUACGGGGAUAAAGUCACCCACGUGUGGGUGUUUGUAGGUACCGUAAGAAUAAGGAUCGGCUAACUCCGUGCCAGCAGCCGCGGUAAUACGGAGGAUCCGAGCGUUAUCCGGAUUUAUUGGGUUUAAAGGGUGCGCAGGCGGGCUGCUCAGUCUCCGGUGAAAUGUCAGGGCUCAACCUUGGCACUGCCGGAGAUACUGGCGGCCUUGAGAGUGGCGGAGGUAUCCGGAAUGUGUGGUGUAGCGGUGAAAUGCAUAGAUAUGUCACAGAACACCGAUUGCGAAGGCAGCCGGCCAAUCCGCAACUGACGCUCAUGCACGAAAGCGUGGGGAUCGAACAGGAUUAGAUACCCUGGUA